CCUUUCACAGCUGCUCCUUGCGCUGCUGGGGGAGGUUGCUGAGGUAUGGGGAAGAGGUACGCUGUCGCUAAGCAACAAGAGGCUGUGCACCUGGAGGUCCUAGGAGGAGACCCUGGCACCAUCGGUAUGGGGGAGGCAGGGAGACAGUAAAGGGUUGAUCAAGCUCAAGGCUCCCUCUCCCAUCCUCCCCAAGACAGUUACAGAGGAGGGAUGUACCCAUCGCUCAAGAAGCCUGUUGAAUUGGCUCACAAUCCUCCAGAAGGCUGCGAUUGUGCAUGCAAACCUGUGUGACAUUCCAUAGACUGAGAGUUGGAGAGGGCAGGGGCUAGGGCAUGAAAGACAAGGGUGAGCAUCUUUCACAUCAAUCUUGGAGGAAGGUCGAGGACUUGCCUGUCUGCUAAAAGGUAGGAACUUCCAUGGAAGUGUAAAGGUCUGAGGGCGGAAACUUAGUAGGGAGGCGACAGAAUGGGAAGGGAAGCCGGUUGGACCCUGGGGCAGCCUCCCAGUCACAGAGGCUACCAAGGAGCCUACACAGAAGGGAGGUGGCAGGGCAGCAGGGGCCCCACACCCAUCAGCCAUCUGCUGGAAUUCUCAGUGUCCUCAAAGCUGAAGUGCUGCACUGUAUGCCGUUAUUUUUCUUCUCUUUUAUUAUUGUUUUUUGGUGGACUGGAGUUUGAAUGAGGUAACGAUCAAGAGGGAAAGACUCGUCGAUUGACCCUGUCACCCGCCUCACUGCAUCUCUAACAGGCCUGUAGCCCUGUAAACGUGAGGAGCAGCUCAGGGUUGACAGAGGGCCAUUGCCUCCCUUUUUCUGUCACUUCCUCCAUUGCCUCAACCCCUGUCCAGAAGAGCGCACCUUCAUUCAACAAGCAUGGAUCAAGCACUCGUGACGUGCCAGCCAGGGCGCUGGGGAAAUGAUGAGGGUUGGGUUCCGUGGUGGCCGACACCCAGCCCCUCCUCCACAGUGCCUGUCUCCUUGCUGGUAUCUUGGCAGGCUCCCGUUCUCCCAUCAGACGCUACACUCACACAUGCUGCACAUACUGGUGAAUAGCUUCUUGCAGUCCAUCCUGGCACGGUCCCCAAAUUCCGCAGGGAACAGGGUGUGCUUCAGCCCUCUCCCUCUCUCACUAAGGGCUAGGAAGUUUUGAGUCUUCCAUCUCACACACCCCAGAGGCUGCGUUGCCGAGAAGACACAGGGGCAAUGUGAGGCCUUCUUAUUCCUGACCCACGAGAACGAUGCCAAGUUGGGGACAAGAAGGGUAGAGGCUUGUUUUGCUUUCAUUCCUGCUUUAUGCCAGGCACUCUGAAAGGCAUUGUGUACACUAUUUUCAUCAUCAGACAAUAGCCCAUAAUACUUUGUCUGACAUCUGACAAAGAACGAUCAGCCUCAUUUUACAGAUGGUGAAACUGAAGGAGCAUGUUCAUGUUCAUACAGCACAAAGUGGCUCUGGGAUUUCAACCCAUAGAGGAGUGUUAGAAUAAUACCCUCACAAAUUCAAUGUUGAAAGUGCUAAUGAAGUCCGGGCGCGGUGCCUCAUGCCUGUAAUCCCAGCACUUUGGGAGGCCAAGGCGGGCAGAUCACCUGAGGUCAAGAGUUUGAGACCAGCCUGACCAACAUGGAGAAACCCCGUCUCUACUAAAAAUACAAAAUUAUCCGGGCGUGGUAGCACAUGCCUGUAGUCCCAGCUACUUGGGAGGCUGAGGCAGGAGAAUUGCUUGAACUUGGGAGGUGGAGGUUGCAGUGAGCUGAGAUUGCGCCACUGCACUCCAGCCUGGGCGACAGAGCGAGACUCCAUCUCAAAAAAUAAAUAAAUAAAUAAUAAAUAAAUAAAAUAAAAAAA
rnacentral:lncRNA from 10 species